rnacentral:rRNA from 1 species
UACGAAGGGGGCUAGCGUUGCUCGGAAUCACUGGGCGUAAAGCGCACGUAGGCGGACUCUUAAGUCAGGGGUGAAAUCCUGGAGCUCAACUCCAGAACUGCCUUUGAUACUGGGAGUCUUGAGUUCGGGAGAGGUGAGUGGAACUGCGAGUGUAGAGGUGAAAUUCGUAGAUAUUCGCAAGAACACCAGUGGCGAAGGCGGCCAACUGGUCCGGUACUGACGCUGAGGUGCGAAAGCGUGGGGAGCAAACAGA